GAGUGGCGAACGGGUGAGUAAUGCAUCGGAACGUGCCCAAUCGUGGGGGAUAACGCAGCGAAAGCUGUGCUAAUACCGCAUACGAUCUAUGGAUGAAAGCGGGGGACCGUAAGGCCUCGCGCGAUUGGAGCGGCCGAUGUCAGAUUAGCUAGUUGGUGGGGUAAAGGCCCACCAAGGCGACGAUCUGUAGCUGGUCUGAGAGGACGACCAGCCACACUGGGACUGAGACACGGCCCAGACUCCUACGGGAGGCAGCAGUGGGGAAUUUUGGACAAUGGGCGCAAGCCUGAUCCAGCAAUGCCGCGUGCAGGAAGAAGGCCUUCGGGUUGUAAACUGCUUUUGUACGGAACGAAACGGUCCGGGUUAAUACCC
rnacentral:rRNA from 1 species